AACAUCGACAUUUCGAACGCACAUUGCGGUCCUCGGAUAUGAUUCCCGGACCACGCCUGGCUGAGGGUCGUUUAAUAAAAAAGUACCAGACUGCUUUUGUGCUGCUCUUUUGAUAUAGGGGUAGGCACUAAAGCGAUAGCCUGAGCGUUCGUUGCUGUGAGAGGCGCGUUCUCAUCGUAGAACGUGCUUCCAUUGCUGCGUCGCUCUAAAUGAUUUGUCUUUUAUAAUUUCGAAAGCAGCGACGAUGACACACAAAAACGAAGCUCUCGAACGCGAAACGUGUAUCGAGAAGCAAGGUACGUCGAGUCCCGGAGCUCUUGUCCGCAUGCCAACAAUUUCUUUUCAAUUGUUAAACAACGGACCGGGCGGACCGACGAUAACUUUAUGCUUCUCGUUUGUUUACAAAGCUUCGAGUCUCGCACGCGCGCGAUCGAUAAUAUAAUUUUAAAACGACGACGACCUCAGAGCAGGUGAGAC
rnacentral:rRNA from 1 species